CUCUCUGUAGCUCAGUUGGUUAGAGUGCUGCAUCGGAAUCGCAGGGCCGUAGGUUCGAUUCCUGCCAGAGGGC
rnacentral:tRNA from 1 species